rnacentral:rRNA from 1 species
UACGGAGGGUGCAAGCGUUAUCCGGAUUCACUGGGUUUAAAGGGUGCGUAGGCGGGCAGGUAAGUCAGUGGUGAAAUCCUAGAGCUUAACUCUAGAACUGCCAUUGAUACUAUCUGUCUUGAAUAUUGUGGAGGUAAGCGGAAUAUGUCAUGUAGCGGUGAAAUGCUUAGAUAUGACAUAGAACACCUAUUGCGAAGGCAGCUUACUACGCAUAUAUUGAUGCGUGAGGCACGAAAAGCGUGGGGGAUCAAAACAGG